rnacentral:lncRNA from 1 species
CUCCUCGCCAAGUGCCCGCCCUCAUGUUGCUUCUCUCGCCCCCAGAAAUCCUACGAGCACUUGGCCAAAAUACGAGUAGCGAGAGAAGCGGCUCCAGAGUGCAGCUGCCCACCAGGUCCUCCAGGGAAAAGAGGUAAGCGGGGAAGAAGAGGAGAGACUGGUAAGUUUUUAAUUUCAUAAGAUCUGUUGUCAUUUGAUGUUUUUGUGAGGAUGUGUACCCAGCAUGCCUUGAUUUUUAGUUGUACUGCAUGUGUGCUCUGAAAAAGAAAUCUGAAACAUCUCUGGUAAAAUAUUGUGACCUUUGGCAUGUAUCUGGUGGCCUUCAAGAUAUUUCUCUGG